rnacentral:lncRNA from 1 species
GCUCUUUACAUUUCCAACACAAAGAAAACACGCUGUAUAUGAUGCUUCUUUUUUUGUUUUAAUGCACUUUCAUUGGUUCACAAAGGAAUGCCUGUUAAGGGUAUCUCGCGACUGGAAUGCAUUUUGCUGCUUUGCAGUAUUCAUUUUUAAUGGGAAGAAGUACAAUCGCAAUGAUCAUUAAUGAAUGUUGUCGUGCAUUAUGGACUAUAUUACAACCACUAGAAAUGCCCGAACCUACUGUUGAAAAAUGGAAAGAAAUAGCAGAGGAAUUUGAUUAGAAAUCUAAUUUCCCCCACUGCUUUGGGGCAGUCGAUGGGAAACAUAUUAUAAUAAAUAGAUGAUGUAAUAUGUAAUAGAUGUAAAAGAGCAUACGGACGGGAGUCCGAUUGCAAUGUUUUUAGGCAAAGUACUGUUGGAAGAAAGUUGUAUAACAGUGAGCUUAUAAUACCCAUCAGUUUUGGCAGAUAAUUGUGACCAACGUAUUUAUCCCUAUGUAUUGGUGGGCGAUGAAGCUUUUGCUUUACUUCAAAAUUUAUUAUUUAUUAGGCCAUAUCCAAGACGUAAUCUGAACGAGAAUAAAAGGAUUUUCAAUUACAGAUUAACAAGAGCUAGGAGGUUCGUGGAAUGUGCCUUUGGCAUUCUGGCCAAUAAGUGGCGUGUGUUUCAUACUAUACUCUAUUUCAGAAGUGUGUAGAGCAAUAAAACCUCAUUAGGUAUGCAAAAGUGGUACCUGGUGAUCCACCAAUAUUUUAUGCCACUACCUUAGUUGGGUAUUAGUUUCAAUGUAAAAUUCUUUCUUUUCGUUGAUUGCAGGUAGUGCCACCCGGUUAUGGGUCAAUUUAUGAGUUUUGCCCAUUGUUACCCACUGAUAAACAUUGAAAACGGUUCGCCAAAGGCGUGCAACUGGGACUUGUUUUUUACCUUAUAAUUAAUGUACUUAAAUGCUAUUUUAUUUUAGAAAGUUACUUUUGUUUAAAUGGAAUAAUAUAUUUUUUUCACAAAUUUAUUGAACAUAAUAUGUAGAGUAAAACAGUUGAAAAUGUCACUUUUGGAUCUGGCACUUUUUGAACAGUGUAUAACAAUUUUAAAUUAUAAUAGAUUGUAGUCUUCUUCGUCAUCUGACGAACUGUCAUCACCUCUUGACAUUAUAAUUAAAGGAUCGACUGUCUGAUCGAUGAGGUUGUCAAGAUCCCACAUUUUGUCCUCUUGCUUAAUUACAUGCUGGACUGCUUUUCGCCAAUUCUCUGGUGUCGCUUCCGUAAUGGCUUGAUCAAACAGUAGCUUAACAUCUUUCAUUUUAAAAGUCGUGUUUUGUCUUGCUACAAAUCCUUUUACCUGCGCCCAUAUCAGUUCUAUAGGAUUUAGUUCGCAAUGAUAUGGCGGUAAGCGCAGUACAGUUAUAUUAUAUUUUCGGCUAUAUCUUCCACGGCGUAUUUCAUGAAACGAGUUUUGUGUAAGUUUGCUAUUGCCAGCAGUUCUUUUUUUAUCAAAUUUGCUUUAAACGCAAUACCUUUUGCAGUCAGCCAAUCGAUAAUUUCUUGCUUUCUCCAACUUGAAGUUGGCGUCUUCUCUAUUCGCCGUGAAUGAUAGCUUGCGUUAUCCAUAACCACCACCGAAUUAGCCGGAAGAAAUUUUAUCAUUUCACCAAAAUAGUCCUCGAAAACGUCUGAGUUCAUGUCUUCAUGGUAAUCUCCUGUGCGAGUCGACUCAAAGGUUAGCAGACUUUCUUUUAAAAAUCCCUCUUCGCUUCCAAUAUGUGUGAUUAUAAGUCUUUUUCCUUUUCCCGAAGGUACUUUAAUACCCGUAGACAGGCCUUCUAUGAAAGCUUGGCGAGCACUGGUUAUAUUUUUGUCUUGCCACAUUUUUUGGACUAUAUAACCUUCGUUAAUCCACGUCUCAUCAAGAUAAAAAACUUUCUUUUGCUCCCUGCGGUACUGCUUGAUACUUCUCAAGUAUUGUCGUCUCCAACAAACAAUUUCAUCGCUCUCCAGUAAAAGUGCUUUGCGGUUAUGCUUUUCCCAGGCAAAAUCCAUAUUUUUUAAAGUUUUCCAUAAAAGUUUUCUACUUAUCAACGAAAUACUGUCAUCUCGGCCAAGCUCCAUUAAAAUUUUGUCUAGGGUGGGUAUUUCCUUCUUAAAAUAAAAAGAGUGAACUUUUCUUCGAAUUAUACAUUUAGCAUUUUCAUCAAGGACUUUUGUAGGUCGUCCUGGCUUUUGCUUGGGAGAUUCCACUUGACCUGCUACUUUUCUUUCCCGCAACAAUUUGAAAAUGGUGGACUUUCCAAUUCCACUCAUUCGAGAACAUUUUUCAACAAUUUCUUGCACAGUAAAACUAGGGUAAUCGUGUUUUAUGCAAUCAUGUACAUUUAAAAUAAUAACUUUUUCACUCAGCGAUAGUGGAGAAUUUUUAGUACAUCUUUUCGUUGGACUGAAUACCUCCAUUUUUUAAAUAUUGGGAUAAUAAUAUUGUGAUUACACUACAGCGUAGCAGUGACUACUAACGUUUAAAAUAUGAUUUAAAAGUAUUUAUAGUCUGUAUAUAUUACCUGACCCCAUUUUUGCAUGUUACAAAGCGUUAAAAGAUAGGUACCUAUACAAAAGGAUUAAAAGUAUUUAUUUAGUAUUUAAUCUCUUUCAAAAUAAAGGCAUUUAAUCCGUGAAAAUUAAAUUCAUAAAUAAUAUAAGUACCUGCGCCUAUGAACUACCACGAAAUGUAGCCAAACAGAACGGAAUUCCCCAGUUUAUUGCUCUAUACACUUCUGAAAUAGAGUAUAGCAUAUUAGUGCAACCGGAUUUUGCAGUGCUGGUAUUUUGUAUCGUCUGAAGGCAGUUUAAGUUGGCAAAAUGCUAUGAUAUAGAUAAGUAUUAGUGUAUUGUGUUUAUUUAAUAGAUAGGUAUAUUAUUACCUUUGUAAACAAUUAUUAUAUUAAAACACUUUCUGUACA